rnacentral:rRNA from 1 species
GACUGCGUACCUUUUGUAUAAUGGGUCAGCGACUUAUAUUUAGUAGCAAGGUUAAGUGAAUAACGGAGCCGUAGCGAAAGCGAGUGUUAACUGCGCGUUUAGUUGCUAGGUAUAGACCCGAAACCCGGUGAUCUAGCCAUGAGCAGGUUGAAGGUUGAGUAACAUCAACUGGAGGACCGAACCCACUAACGUUGAAAAGUUAGGGGAUGACUUGUGGCUGGGGGUGAAAGGCCAAUCAAACCGGGAGAUAGCUGGUUCUCCCCGAAAGCUAUUUAGGUAGCGCCUCGGACGAAUACCACAGGGGGUAGAGCACUGUUUCGGCUAGGGGGUCAUCCCGACUUACCAAACCCAUGCAAACUCCGAAUACCGUGGAGUGCAAUCAUGGCAGACAGACGGCGGGUGCUAACGUCCGUCGUCAAGAGGGAAACAACCCAGACCGCCAGCUAAGGUCCCAAAUUCAUAGUUAAGUGGGAAACGAUGUGGGAAGGCUCAGACAGCUAGG